UGUGGCCUUGCAUUCUCUUUUAAUAGAGUC
rnacentral:piRNA from 1 species